CGGGGUGCACCAGGCGCGAAAACUUUACAAUGCUGGCAACAGCGAUAAGGGGACCUCGAGUGCCAGGAUACAAUCUUGGCUGUCGUGAUGCCUAAAAAGCAUUGCAUAGCAAGGGCCGGGCAAGACCGGUGCCAGCCGCCGCGGUAACACCGGCGGCUCGAGUGGUAACCGCUAUUAUUGGGUCUAAAGGGUCUGUAGCCGGCCGGAUAAGUCUCUUGGGAAAUCCGACAGCUCAACUGUCGGGCUUUCAGGGGAUACUGUUCGGCUCGAGGCCGGGAGAGGUGAGAGGUACUUCAGGGGUAGGGGUGAAAUCUUGUAAUCCUUGAAGGACCACCAGUGGCGAAGGCGUCUCACCAGAACGGUCCUGACGGCAAGGGACGAAAGCUAGGGGCACGAACCGGAUUAGAUACCCGGGUAGUCCUAGCCGUAAACGAUACUCGCUAGGUGUCGGCCACGGUGCGACCGUGGUCGGUGCCGUAGGGAAGCCGUGAAGCGAGCCACCUGGGAAGUACGGCCGCAAGGCUGAAACUUAAAGGAAUUGGCGGGGGAGCACAAGGGCGAUUCGCG
rnacentral:rRNA from 1 species